rnacentral:lncRNA from 1 species
CGCGCGCACUCAAGUGAGGAAUGGGGAAGGAGGGUGGAGGAAGGAGCUUGUAAAUGAGCAGCUGGUUUGCAGCAAAACCGCACCUCACUCUGCACCUUUGGAUCCCUCUCAGCCUGAGGUUAGCACAGCCAAUGUCCUCACCAGCGUCUGCCAAAGCCCAUGGAGAAGGCCAGCAGGAGCAUAUCACUGUGACUUACAACCCUUCUCUAGUCUGCUACAAUGGAAUCUUAAACAAGAAAAUUUUAUAUUUUGACUUGCAUCAUUGAGAAAAACACUGCCAACCUGAUCGUGGUUCCUUUGAAGAAUCACUGCAGCAGGUGCGAGAGAGGACUCAUGGAGCUUGCAGAUGAGCUAGCCCAGUUUUUAGAGUACUUCGUCCACGGCGCCAAGGUGUCUAGGGCAGAGACACCACAACCUCCUAAGACUAUGUCUUGAUAGUGACCAUUCCGAAUCCAUUUUCUCAGGUACACAGUAUUUUCUUCUUACAUGGACAUUCAAGUAAUUUUUUUAUUUUAGGAAAGUUUUUUAUUGUUGUUAUAGUUUUUAGGAUUUCUUAUGUUCCAUUGCUUAAAUUUUCUACUUUGGGGAUUCCUGUUAUGCCAGGGAGUGUUGAACCUCCACUGAAGAUUGUAAUCCCUUUCUUAGAAUGAUGUUUUCAGGGCCGGGUUGUGGUGAGUCUCUCCUGUAAUCCCAGCACUUUUGGAGGCUGAGGUGGGAGGAUAGCUUGAGGCCAAGAGUUUGAGACCAGCAUGGGUAACAUACCCAUCUCUAUAGAAAAAAAAAAAAAAAGUCGGUCAUGGUGGUGGGAGGAUUGCUUGAGCCCAGGAGUUUGAGACUGCAUGGAAUAUGUUUAUGCCAUAUGAUCAUGCCACUGCACUCCAGCUGGGGUGAUAGCCUGUCUCUAAGAAAAUAGCAAUAAUAAAAAAUAGUGUUUUAAAAUUCGUAAAACACAGACCGGGCUGGUGGCUCACACCUGUAAUCCCAGCACUUUGGGAGGCCGAGGUGGGUGGAUCACCUGAGGUCAGGAGUUCGAGACCAGCCUGGCCAAACUGGUGGAACCCC